rnacentral:lncRNA from 1 species
AAAUAUAUCUUCCCAUGUCCUGCAGGAUUUCCUCCAUUUAGACUUCUGGGUGAACCUCAGGAGGAAGGGUUUCAGCUUCAAGAUUUUAGAGCACAGUUUCAAUUCAAGUUCUCUGUACCUCCUCCAAAGGAACAGAAAUCAGGUUUAAUGGAGCCAUGGACCAUUCUCCUUGAAAUCUUCUUGUUCCUGCUGACUGCCUUGCAAGAGCUCUGUGCUCCUCAGGGAACCUCUCAGAGAUUGCUUCCCUCUGCAGAGACAUGAAAGGGGCCUCAUGGCACAUCUCAGCUACUCCAGAAAGUUGCAAGUCACUUGGGGCCCAAUGGCCUCUGCAGAAUACAGAGAAGGGCUGGCUGGGUAGAAAGCCCCCUCCUCCAGUAGUACUAUGUCUGCCUGUCUGGCUUUAGGGAGUUUCACCCAGAAUGGGACUGCGAACAGACUUAAAAAGUGGAGUGAGAGAAUGAAAGCAGUAAAUCGGGCCAACAAGCAGCACAACAUCAGAGGCUGCAGCCUGGGGUGUGAAGCCACCAUGCCAAGAGGGAGGCAACGAGAGUGAGAAAAAUGGAGUACAUGUAGCAGAAAGGGUUUCACAGCCAGAACACAGUUGAGAUUGUCACCCAUUGCUGAGUCCUCAGUGCCAACCCCUGUGUCAGGGUGGUAAGCCAGCUGGAUCCCAGACCAGAGCAGAAGGUGAGAAAAGCCAAGAGUCCUCAUUUGCUUGUCACCAGGACUGUUGUCAUAUGUGUCAAAUGGCAGAGGCUUGCUCACUUGCCUUUCUGCAUGGCACACCUUUCCUACUGGAUCAAGAGUUAUAUCUUAAAUAACAUGGAUGCUUUGAGACAAUAUAGUAAAACGUUAGUUCAACCAAUCAUCCUAAGAAACUUUUGGACCACUCUAAAGUUGGCAGCACAGAAUACC